UGUUUCAAGGAAAUGUUAUUUGAAGAACAUGUAACCUAUUUUCUUAGGAUCCAUUUGCCUUUAUAAGACCUUGUGAUAAAUGCUCUCUGUUCCAAGCAUGGAAGGUAACAGGAAUUGUAUUUUUAAUGCGUCACUGCAUUUUGCUCUUUUGGAACAUUUAAUACAUUUGUUUUUGACACGUUAUUGCUGCCCUCUGUGGCAAUUUCAGAACAUACACUUAGAAUCAAAGCAUGAGAACAAAAGGGAAAAAGCUACUGUGGGCCUACUGCUGCAACUUGGGGAAGUGGAACAUCCAGUUCUCUGGAGGAAUGGAAGAUAAUGGUUGCUACACAGAGCCCAUUACUGUGAUAUCUAAGCACACGAAAAAAUUCUAACCUUCCCUGAAGUCAUUCUGCCACUUGUGGAUAUGCUGGGUAACAGUACAGCUCUGCCACCAGAACAAAGGUUUAUAGAUUUCUUGGAAGCCAAGAAGUGGAAAGCAUGUCUGGUAACUACAUAAA